AAUUGCAUCCUGGGUUCUGGACAGAAAUAAUUAUAAUUAAGCAUUCAUCAGGCUGCCCUUAGGCCCACUUCCUUCUUACUAAAAGUCACUUAGCACUAGAUACUGAUCAUUUGCAUACCCAUUGUUCCUAUAGACGAGAUCCCGGACAUUAGAAUCAUAAGGCUUUUAUUUAAUUCAGAUGUAUUUCAGACCUGAAUUCCAGCGACCAGUUUGAAGACCCCCAGAGAAGAAACAAAAUCGGCUUUGCAAAAUUAUAGCUGAGGAAAUUAUGACAGUGAAAGAAAUAAGACCUGACUGACUCCAUCUUGCUUCUAACCUUUAAGCUGUCCUUGUUCAUUCCUGGGCGUAGGCUAAACUAACUUUGGGAAGGAAUUCAGUUCAUGGUUUGACUCUGCAACAAAAUUGGUAACAGCCUUUUCCUGAAAAGACCCCCUUCUUGCCUGGGGUCUAGUUUGCCUUUCCAGGACUAACAAACUAGCUACAAGAUUAGAAAUUACAGUUUAGGGUUCAUGCAGCCUCUGGCUUCAAGAGUCUUAAUUUCCCCAAAUUGCUCCUGGAGAAAACAUCACUAUUGUAAAAUCUAAGAUCAGUGCUUGAGAUAUUUUGCAGACCCUGCACUGGAUGGAUCAGCUGAACUGGCUCAACCAGUUCUGCCAUCCCACCCAGGAACAGAAGACAGCAAGAAAACCUCCUUCGACCUACAGAAAGGGAUCCACGUGAGAAUACAGCUUCUUCCUCUCCCUCACCCAUGACUUCACCCUGCACUCCUCGACCAAUCAAUGAUACCUGUACUUUGGCCUACUCCAAAACCUGAACCCCAGAUUCCUAGGG
rnacentral:lncRNA from 1 species